rnacentral:rRNA from 1 species
CACGCCCUAAACUAUGUCAACUAGGUGUUGGGUGGGUAAAACCAUUUAGUACCGUAGCUAACGCGUGAAGUUGACCGCCUGGGGAGUACGGCCGCAAGGUUAAAACUCAAAGGAAUUGACGGGGACCCGCACAAGCGGUGGAUGAUGUGGAUUAAUUCGAUGCAACGCGAAAAACCUUACCUACCCUUGACAUGCCAGGAACUUGCCAGAGAUGGCUUGGUGCCCGAAAGGGAGCCUGGACACAGGUGC